AUUUCCACGGCAGCAAGCACCACUCUGUGCCUAUCUCUAUCUACCGCUCCCCUGUCUCCCUCCGAGGAGGACACGGAGUAAAGGAGACAAGAAUUAUCAGAAGAACCAUUAAAGAUCCAAGUAGCUCUCAACAAAAGACACAGAAGAUUUGAAACUGGAGGAAAAAAUGUACUGUCCAAGUGAAGAAAAAGGAAAAGAAGGAGUAUCAGAGCUUCUUAUCAGCAGAGUUGCCUUGUUGGCUACUUUUAGAUAUGAGCUGAGGAGAUGCAGUGUGCUCUGCGGAAGGUGUAGGGUCUGCAACCUGCCCACGAGAGCACUGGGUUGCUGAUGCUCAAUUUACAGUGGUCUUCUAGCCACACGCUUUUUUGACCUUGGAUCUAGACUCCACAGUAUGCCAUACUUUCUUCCAAAUUCAGUUUACUAUGAUGAUUGAUACACUUGUUUUGCUUAAUUUUUUUUACCAUUACCUGUGUUCUUGGAAGCAUGAAGUGCCAUUACCAAUAUCUAGGUGUCAUUAAUACAUUUAAUUAUUUACUGGUCUAAAGAUUGAAGGCACUUUUUUAAUACUACUUGCUGUGGAGGGUGUUAUGGAAAUUAGGCUUGUCGGCCACCAUAACAGGGCUUGACCCCAGGUUCUCGCAGGUAAAGUUCAGAGCCAAAUCAAAACAAAUGAAAUUUUAAUCACACGCGUGCCGUAAUUACAGCUCGAGCUGGGUGCCUCCAAAGAGGGACCCUCACGUAAACAAAUCCUGGGCAAUUAUAGUUUUUUCAACUUACAUUUCCCACCCCUCAUGCGGUAGUUAGACCAAUAGCAAUUUUUUGGUCUGGGGUCUCCUGCUCCUCAUUGGGUCUCAUCGUCGUUCUUAGGUAAGCUGUUUUUCUCUUUAUUCUUGUUUUUUGCGGUCUCUGAUGAAGGUUGUACCUCUGUUUUUGU